GGGGUCGACCGGUUUUGACAGCAAGUCGGUAUCUGACAGUAAGCACGUCGAGCGAUGAAACCCUGCUCGUUAAUCUCGAUUUCAAACCUUUAAACGGCGAGUCUAACUACGCUCUUGCUGCCUAAUCCGAAUCACAGUAGGAUUGAGCCAUGUCCCCGCUAGGCGGGGAGGCGAGAUUUCUCCGAAAAGCCUUGAUUGGCGGCGUUUCAUCAGGAGAAACCGUAAAAGUCAAUAUAGAAAAGGUAAGGCUUCGGUACUUUUUUGAAACCAAAGAAGCUAAGCACUUUGUGGCGCGUUUUCGGCCUGGCAUAGUGACGAAAAUCAAUCGGAAACUAAACGUGUAGAAAGCUUUUGGGUAGCUUGUUUGGACGAGAGUUCGAUUCUCUCCGACUCCACUU
rnacentral:tmRNA from 1 species